rnacentral:rRNA from 1 species
GUACGGGAGGCAGCAGUGAGGAAUCUUGCGCAAUGGCCGAAAGGCUGACGCAGCGACGCCGCGUGGAGGAUGACGCCCUUCGGGGUGUAAACUCCUGUUGCCCGGGACGAACGACCCUAUUCGUGGGGUGUGACGGUACCGGGUGAGGAAGCACCGGCUAACUCUGUGCCAGCAGCCGCGGUAAUACAGAGGGUGCGAGCGUUGUCCGGAAUCACUGGGCGUAAAGGGCGCGUAGGCGGCUCGGUAAGCGGGUGGUGAAAGCCCGGGGCUCAACCCCGGGUCGGCCAUGCGAACUGUCGAGCUGGAGCACGGUAGAGGCACAUGGAAUUCCGGGUGUAGCGGUGGAAUGCGUAGAGAUCCGGAAGAACACCGGUGGCGAAGGCGGUGUGCUGGGCCGUAGCUGACGCUGAGGCGCGACAGCGUGGGGAGCAAACAGGAUUAGAUACCCGUGUAGUCCC